rnacentral:lncRNA from 1 species
GACCAUCAGGGCAUAGUUCGAAACAAGCUUCAAUAGUGAGUAGACAGAUAGUAGACAGUCCUACCAGAGGUAUUAUGGAGACUGAUUUGUGACCUCUCCACGUGUAGUACUCUGAGCUGUGUUUGAGUUUAACAUGCUUGAAAAAUGGGUUCAAAAUGUGGCUCCAAGCCACAGUAUGGACAAGGCCUUAGAAAGUGUCGCUGACUCAUCCAGGCCACAUCAUUCUUCCUGAAGCAAAAGCCCUUUUAAAGCUACCUCUAACAUUUAUCCUGAAUGAUGAACUCUCUUGUCAAAGAGUCAGGCACUGGUGGCUGCUCUAAUGGGUGCAUAUCCUGUCCACUCCCUGGGUUGUUUUUCUCUUACCUGCUGGAAAAGAAAGCAAUUUUCCACCACAACAUCCCAUUUCUCCAACUCUACUCUGGGUGUAUCCUCCCAAACACCCCAUUGUCACUGUAAUAAAAUUCAGGAAACAAAAUUGCCACUGUCCCUGUCUCUACAGCAAUGUGUAGUAUACUAUAUAACUUUUUUCCUCUCUGUGUGUGUGUGUGUGUGUGUGUACCUCUUCCCCAUAGCACUACUAAUUCUUUAACACCAGAGACAGCACUUUAAGAAUUCCCUCUUCCAAGGCUUUACAAUG